rnacentral:rRNA from 1 species
UACGGAGGGUCCGAGCGUUAAUCGGAAUUACUGGGCGUAAAGCGUGCGCAGGCGGUUUGUUAAGCGAGAUGUGAAAGCCCCCGGGCUCAACCUGGGAAUUGCAUUUCGAACUGGCGAACGUAGAGUCUUGUAGAGGGGGUAGGAAUUCCAGGUGUAGCGGGUGAAAUAGCGUAGAGAUCUGGAGGAAUACCGGUGGCGAAGGCGGCCCCCUGGACAAAGACUGACGCUCAGGCACGAAAGCGUGGGGAGCAAACAGGAUUAGAUACCCUUGUAGU